UAUUUCCUUUGCAUUUUGCUACAAUAU
rnacentral:piRNA from 1 species